rfam:Brachypodium distachyon strain Bd21 chromosome 1, whole genome shotgun sequence.
AGGCGCAUGAUGAUUAGCUACAUGUUGGAAUUACCAUCAGAUUUUUAGUGAUGAUAAUAUUUGCGGCUUACUGACGCUCAUU